rnacentral:rRNA from 1 species
UGUAUAAUGGGUCAGCGACUUAUAUUCUGUAGCAAGGUUAACCGAAUAGGGGAGCCGAAGGGAAACCGAGUCUUAACUGGGCGUUAAGUUGCAGGGUAUAGACCCGAAACCCGGUGAUCUAGCCAUGGGCAGGUUGAAGGUUGGGUAACACUAACUGGAGGACCGAACCGACUAAUGUUGAAAAAUUAGCGGAUGACUUGUGGCUGGGGGUGAAAGGCCAAUCAAACCGGGAGAUAGCUGGUUCUCCCCGAAAGCUAUUUAGGUAGCGCCUCGUGAAUUCAUCUCCGGGGGUAGAGCACUGUUUCGGCAAGGGGGUCAUCCCGACUUACCAACCCGAUGCAAACUGCGAAUACCGGAGAAUGUUAUCACGGGAGACACACGGCGGGUGCUAACGUCCGUCGUGAAGAGGGAAACAACCCAGACCGCCAGCUAAGGUCCCAAAGUCAUGGUUAAGUGGGAAACGAUGUGGGAAGGCCCAGACAGCCAGGAUGUUGGCUUAGAAGCAGCCAUCAUUUAAAGAAAGCGUAAUAGCUCACUGGUCGAGUCGGCCUGCGCGGAAGAUGUAACGGGGCUAAACCAUGCACCGAAGCUGCGGCAGCGACGCUUAUGCGUUGUUGGGUAGGGGAGCGUUCUGUAAGCCUGUGAAGGUGUACUGUGAGGUAUGCUGGAGGUAUCAGAAGUGCGAAUGCUGACAUAAGUAACGAUAAAGCGGGUGAAAAGCCCGCUCGCCGGAAGACCAAGGGUUCCUGUCCAACGUUAAUCGGGGCAGGGUGAGUCGACCCCUAAGGCGAGGCCGAAAGGCGUAGUCGAUGGGAAACAGGUUAAUAUUCCUGUACUUGGUGUUACUGCGAAGGGGGGACGGAGAAGGCUAUGUUGGCCGGGCGACGGUUGUCCCGGUUUAAGCGUGUAGGCUGGUUUUCCAGGCAAAUCCGGAAAAUCAAGGCUGAGGCGUGAUGACGAGGCACUACGGUGCUGAAGCAACAAAUGCCCUGCUUCCAGGAAAAGCCUCUAAGCAUCAGGUAACAUCAAAUCGUACCCCAAACCGACACAGGUGGUCAGGUAGAGAAUACCAAGGCGCUUGAGAGAACUCGGGUGAAGGAACUAGGCAAAAUGGUGCCGUAACUUCGGGAGAAGGCACGCUGAUAUGUAGGUGAAGCGACUUGCUCGUGGAGCUGAAAUCAGUCGAAGAUACCAGCUGGCUGCAACUGUUUAUUAAAAACACAGCACUGUGCAAACACGAAAGUGGACGUAUACGGUGUGACGCCUGCCCGGUGCCGGAAGGUUAAUUGAUGGGGUUAGCGGUAACGCGAAGCUCUUGAUCGAAGCCCCGGUAAACGGCGGCCGUAACUAUAACGGUCCUAAGGUAGCGAAAUUCCUUGUCGGGUAAGUUCCGACCUGCACGAAUGGCGUAAUGAUGGCCAGGCUGUCUCCACCCGAGACUCAGUGAAAUUGAACUCGCUGUGAAGAUGCAGUGUACCCGCGGCAAGACGGAAAGACCCCGUGAACCUUUACUAUAGCUUGACACUGAACAUUGAGCCUUGAUGUGUAGGAUAGGUGGGAGGCUUUGAAGUGUGGACGCCAGUCUGCAUGGAGCCGACCUUGAAAUACCACCCUUUAAUGUUUGAUGUUCUAACGUUGGCCCCUGAUCGGGGUUGCGGACAGUGUCUGGUGGGUAGUUUGACUGGGGCGGUCUCCUCCUAAAGAGUAACGGAGGAGCACGAAGGUUGGCUAAUCCUGGUCGGACAUCAGGAGGUUAGUGCAAUGGCAUAAGCCAGCUUGACUGCGAGCGUGACGGCGCGAGCAGGUGCGAAAGCAGGUCAUAGUGAUCCGGUGGUUCUGAAUGGAAGGGCCAUCGCUCAACGGAUAAAAGGUACUCCGGGGAUAACAGGCUGAUACCGCCCAAGAGUUCAUAUCGACGGCGGUGUUUGGCACCUCGAUGUCGGCUCAUCACAUCCUGGGGCUGAAGUAGGUCCCAAGGGUAUGGCUGUUCGCCAUUUAAAGUGGUACGCGAGCUGGGUUUAGAACGUCGUGAGACAGUUCGGUCCCUAUCUGCCGUGGGCGCUGGAGAACUGAGGGGGGCUGCUCCUAGUACGAGAGGACCGGAGUGGACGCAUCACUGGUGUUCGGGUUGUCAUGCCAAUGGCACUGCCCGGUAGCUAAAUGCGGAAGAGAUAAGUGCUGAAAGCAUCUAAGCACGAAACUUGCCCC